rnacentral:rRNA from 1 species
GCAAGCCUGAUGGAGCAACGCCGCGUGUGUGAUGAAGGGUUUCGGCUCGUAAAACACUGUUAUCAGAGAAGAACGGCACUGAGAGUAACUGUUCACUGUGUGACGGUAUCUUACCAGAAAGGAACGGCUAACUACGUG